rnacentral:lncRNA from 1 species
CUAUAAGUUUGCACAUAAAAACCAAUCAUUCAUAGCUACUGGGAAGCCUGCAGAAAAUGUGCCCACAGCAUUUCCCUAAAGUUUGAACCUUUAUGUUAAAAGUCUGCAUACCAGAAAGUGAACUGUGUUUUCAAACGUUUGCCUUGGGUGGCAACAGAAUGGUUUCUGGGCUGUGCGGGUGGCACCCCAGCCAACCCAGGCCACUUGGGGCAAGGUCUGACAAAGAGGCCAUGGGUUUCUUGCCGUGAGUGGCGCGGCCAUUUGCAUAUGAACUGCCACCCCGUUUCCUUAUCAUAGAGAACAGCACAGUGGACUUUCUUCCUUUGAGUCUAGCAGUUAAUGAGAGGCUUUAUUUCACUUUAUGAGCCUUAAAAAAUAGCUUUAACAUCUAUAUUUCUGAGGCAUUAGCAGAAGUUUUCUGGCCUAACACCAAGUCACACAAUUGGAUAAACUUACUUUAGCAUAUCUUUUUACAAAAAAAUGCUAAAUGUGUAAAAUGGAAAGGGGCAGGAUGGUACAGCCAACUGGCCAGAUGCAGGUUUUAUCAUGUCGAUUUCUUUUCGUCCUACGGGUUUUACUGUGGCAGCAGGAGAUGGCCUGAGCUGAGCGACAGAGAACACGGAUCGGCUUCAAGGUGACAAAUGCCAGUGCAAAGCAACACCCGAGUGGGACGGCUGCCUCCAGAGCAGCCAGCAACGUGCUGAGGAACAGGAUGUCUGGUGGUUACUCUUGAUUUGAGGCUGUUUAUAGAUACGGUAUAAUUUUCAAAACAAAAUCUCUUUCAUUUUUAAUUUUCCCAGUUCUUCCUUAUAUUUGAGUACAUGAGAAGGGAAACAAAGUGGCAAAAUCCAAAGUCGGUUUUUGCUGCCUCCAAAAUCCCUCAGCCGGCCACGAGGGAGAAGGACGCAUCUUCUUGGAAAGACUCAUCUGGAUGCUGACCAUAGGGCAAAGCUCCCCCAAACAGUAGUCCGCCAUCUUGAAGCCUGGUCAGCUUAUUAAAAGAAUUUACCCAAAACCUACUCUUCCUACAGUAAGCCUGGGUUCCAUAAGCUGAGGAAGAAACAGAGGAAAAGGAGUCGUUACUGAGAGCCCACUACGCCACACACAGUUUCACAUCCGCCACGUAGGCAGCCCAUGGGGGACAUUUAAACUGAUGGGGGGUGGGUGGUGAUGACGUGGGCUCCGAGAGCUUCAAUAACUUUCUGAGCCUAGGUCUGACGGAGGCCCUCUCCCGGGGCCUGGGAAGCCCUCUUUCCAGCUUAUCCCAGACUGCCUCCCACAGGAGAGGGAGUUCUCGCACUCAGAAAAAGAACAGGCCUGCUCUGAUGAGAGGACUGACGUAGGACAGUGGGAUUAAAUGGUCAACAGGCUAAAAAAAUAAAACGUGAAACAAGCCAGGAACCAAUAACUGAAGGUCACACAGACCACAUGUCCUGACGUGGCGUGUUUCACAGGAAAACAAGCCCCUCUCUGCAGUGCUGUACGGAACCACCCUCACCCAUAUCCCCAGGCCGAGGGCGGACAGGAGACGCUCUGCAGUCAAUCCUGGCCUGCAAGAGCACCUGUGAUACACCCCAGGGCAAACGCAGGGGCUCUCUAUCCCUGGCUACAAGAAUCAAUGGAAAAUUCUAGAACAUUUCCAGAGAGCCUUGCCUCACGCAGACCUGGAAACUGGGGAUCCAGGCAGGGAGCCCUCUUAGAGCUCAUCGCCGUACACUGUAUGCUGCCUUCCUGGGCUUGGGAGAAAGUCGCACAGGUGCAAUACCAUGGGACAGAUAAAGAGCCAAACUUUAGAAAACUGGAGUCCAGGAAAGGAGAGAAGAAAAGCAUUUUGUAAAAAAUGAAAUUGUUUCUCUCGAAUGGAGAAUGCAAAGAAAUGAGCAGAAAGCACUGGCGGAGGGAGAAGGGCGACACCACAGUCUCAAGCAAGAACAGGGAGUUCGCAUAAGCCUGGGUGUGUCCUUGCUUCCAUUCCCGCCCACCCACGAUUCCUGGGGCAAACAAAUUCUUGGCUGAGCAGGUAUGUGUGGGAGGCCUGAUUUAUUUUCCAGCCAUUAGAGCUUUGCCCAGAACUACUUAAUCAGAAUUUUUCAAGGUCAUACAUUCAAAUACGAUGUUACAGCCUUACGAAACAAAUAACUCCGUGGGGUAGGAGAGUGGGAAGUGCGAAGAGGGGAAAGAAAAGGAAUUAACCAUCCUCAUUUGAUUUAGCUUCUUACUUUACACCCAGCAUAUAUUCUCAGAAAAUCG